rnacentral:rRNA from 1 species
UACGAGGGGGGCAAGUGUUGUUCGGAAUCACUGGGCGUAAAGGGAGCGUAGGCGGAUGUUUAAGUCGGGAGUUUAAAACCGGGGCCCAACCCCGGAGCGGCUCCCGAAACUGGGCAUCUUGAAUAGGUCAGAGGCUGGUGGAAUUGGAGGUGUAGCGGUGGAAUGCGUAGAGAUCUCCAAGAACACCUAUUGCGAAGGCAGCCAGCUGGGACCAUAUUGACGCUGAGGCUCGAAAGCAUGGGGAGCAAACAGG